rnacentral:lncRNA from 1 species
CGGUACCAAAAAGUGCUGUGCAGGGAAGGAUUCUGAGGCCACAUCUGGGUCACUAUGGAUAAUCAGUGUCUGCUGGGGUGUUUCAGGAUGUCCCAGAGCACACAGCUCACUAAUUUGUCCUCCCUAGUCUAGUUAUAUGUCACUCAAACUCACAGCGGUUAGAGCCGGACUAGAAUUUGGGCCCAAAGCUGGAGCUCAGUCCUGCAGAAUGCACUUGUGCCGUUAGUGUCCUCUUGCGUUUAUUUUCCCUAGGAUCUUAUUGGGCUUUGCCUAUGUGAGGCGAUCAAAGAUUUUCCUGAGAAUGAUGAAUGCUUGGCAGCACUCAGCAAACCAAAGUUGAGUGUAUUUGCUGGGUCACACAGGAGCCCCAAGCUGGAGCAGCUGCACAGCUCACGGAUCCAUUUUUAUUUAAGAGGAGAAAGCAGCUGGAUGAACUUCUGUGGAAGCCGACUUGAACUUCUGCUAACAGCCAGUGGCCCCAGCUCACAUUGUGUCUGGAACUGUUUUUCCAGAAAGCUAAAGUUCCUAAAAGACGGUCUGAGCAUAAUGUCAAGGGUCCUGAUGAAACGGCUAUGA